CCUACGGGGGACAGCAGUGAGGAAUAUUGGUCAAUGGCCGUAAGGCUGAACCAGCCAAGUAGCGUGAGGGAAGACUGCCCUAUGGGUUGUAAACCCCUUUUAUGCGGGGAUAAAGGUGUCCACGUGUGGAUGUUUGCAGGUACCGCAUGAAUAAGGACCGGCUAAUUCCGUGCCAGCAGCCGCGGUAAUACGGAAGGUCCGGGCGUUAUCCGGAUUUAUUGGGUUUAAAGGGAGCGUAGGCCGGUCUUUAAGCGUGCCGUGAAAUUUUGUGGCUCAACCAUGAGAGUGCGGCGCGAACUGGAGACCUUGAGUGCGCGGAAGGCAGGCGGAAUUCGUGGUGUAGCGGUGAAAUGCGUAGAUAUCACGAAGAACCCCGAUUGCGAAGGCAGCCUGCCGCAGCGUUACUGACGCUGAGGCUCGAAAGCGCGGGUAGCGAACAGGAUUAGAUACCCCAGUAGUC
rnacentral:rRNA from 1 species